rnacentral:rRNA from 1 species
CCUACGGGAGGCAGCAGUGGGGAAUAUUGGACAAUGGGGGGAACCCUGAUCCAGCCAUGCCGCGUGAAGGACGACGGCCCUAUGGGUUGUAAACUUCUUUUGUAUAGGGAUAAACCUACUCUCGUGAGAGUAGCUGAAGGUACUAUACGAAUAAGCAUCGGCUAACUCCGUGCCAGCAGCCGCGGUAAUA